CAGUCAGUGAGGAAGGUGGGUAUGUUAAUAGCAUAUUCUAUUUGACGUUAGCUGCAGAAGAAGCACCGGCUAACUCCGUGCCAGCAGCCGCGGUAAUACGGAGGGUGCGAGCGUUAAUCGGAAUUACGUGGGACGUAAAGCGCAUGCAGGUGGUUUGUUAAGUCAGAUGUAGAAAGCCCGGGGCUCAACCUCGGAAUUGCUAUUUAGAAACUGGACAAACUAGAGUACUGUAGAGGGGGUAGAAUUUCAGGUGUAGCGGUGAAAUGCGUAGAGAUCUGAAGGAAUACCGGUGGCGAAGGCGGCCCCCUGGACAGAUACUGACACUCAGAUGCGAAAGCGUGGGGAGCAAACAGGAUUAGAUACCCUGGUAG
rnacentral:rRNA from 1 species